GGUAUUGAUUUUUGUAGUUCUUGAGUGUUGUACUGAAUUGGGUAUAUGAUCAUAUGGAUGUAACAGAAUUUCCAGUAUCAGAAGCAUCAUCAAAGUAUGGAUCAGCCUACGUCUCAAGUCCAGUCUUCUUUGUGUUAGGAGAGAUUAUUGCAGUUGAGUGGUGGUUGGAGAGAGAUAGCAAUAUAAUGCAGUUCAAUGGUAGUUGUAGUCUAUUAGAUAAAAGACAACGUUUUUGAGGUAGUGUUAGUUUUUGUCCGCAUUAAGAUGUUGACUUUUGCAAGUAGAAUUGGGUUCAAAGUUGUCAGGUAUGUAUCGUCUGUGUUUCAAUUGUUAAGGUUCCAUGACCUUGUUGAAAAUAGAAAGGUUAUUUGCUUCUGAAUCUUUGCAAAACAGGUGCUCUGUGGCAUUAGAAGGUUUAUGACAGCUAUUUUACAAUAUAACCUUUAUUUUUAUGAAACUCUUAUUUUGGAUGGAUCAUAAAUCUGUGGUUCCCUUGACAGUUUUUGCAGAUGACACUUGUGGGACUCCUCAAAUACUUUUGUUUUGCAUGACUUGCUGCAUAAUGAUAAGUUUUGGAGUUGAAUCAUCUAAUUAUAUAAAACUUAUAUGGGAUUUAUAUUUAGUAAUCUGUGCAAAGACAAAUUGCAAUUACAACCAUUGCAUAUGAUUCAACAAAACUACUUGUAGGUUUCAGUACUUGUACCUGGUAGCAGUCUAGCAGACAUCUCAUUCUACUUUUACAUUGAAGAUCCACAUACUAGUAUUGCUCAUGUCUCUAAUUUUCUGCUGCAACUUUGAGAACAUUAUUGAUUUUAGAAUACCUCUUAUGUGCAAGAAAACAAGGCAAGCAGCUGCAGUAACACUUUAAGUUGGUUUCUUUUGGGUUCUUUGUACUUGUUUUGUGUUAACUGCAUAUUACAUUUUGCUGCAUUGUUAUUUUCGUUUUGUAUUGUAACUUGGAUACUCACUUUGAUAAGUAGAACUAAGGGUAGAUAUCUUAAUGAAACCAGUAGUAUAUUAUUUCCAAUGUGUUGUGAAAACAAAGAGAUUUGAUUUAUGAAUUUAAUCAAAUAGAGAGUUUAAAUCAAAAGAAUGCAUCACUUAUAUGUAGCUCAAACUCAUUCAUACAAUAGACAAAUGUUGCCUGAAAAUGCCGAAAGCCUAAAAGAUAUCACGUAGUGAAAGCUUAAAGCAUAGCAGACGACAUAUACCAAAUGAAAAAAGAAAAAA